UACAGGGGGUGCAAUCGUUGCUCGGAAUUACUAGGCGUAAAGCGCACGUAGGCGGCUUUCUAAGUCGGGGGUGAAAUCCUGGAGCUCAACUCCAGAACUGCCUUCGAUACUGGAGAGCUUGAGUCCGGGAGAGGUGAGUGGAACUGCGAGUGUAGAGGUGAAAUUCGUAGAUAUUCGCAAGAACACCAGUGGCGAAGGCGGCUCACUGGCCCGGUACUGACGCUGAGGUGCGAAAGCGUGGGGAGCAAACAGG
rnacentral:rRNA from 1 species